GACUGGACAUGCCGAGAGAUGAGUUUGGAUUGGUCUACCAUAUAGCACGCAUCUGUCUAUUGGAGCUGGUCAGUAUGUUUAGGUAAUCGUGUCGAAUUGUGGAUUUAAAAAAAUAAAUAUUGUGUAAUAAAACUGCAUAAACCUAAUGUCAAGUUAAAGUGUACUGUUAGCUAGCUAAAGUUAGCUGUCUAGCUCGCUAGCUAAGUGUAUGUUCUCCACUUUCUGGAGGACCGAGUUUUGAAAUCAGUGAAAUUUGAGUAUGAUAGCUAAGGAGAUGGAGAAAAUACCAGUCUGGAUUACAUCGUCAAACUAAGGCAACCAUGCAUGGCAUCAGACAGGAGACCCGUCCAACCAUGAUGUAUACUGGUAUGAUGGCUUGAGAUUUCAUUGAGGAAGAAAUCAUCAAGCGAUGUGCUGGACCUUAUGUCAGAGAUAUGUUUCUGAGAGCAUGUGAUUUCUUUCAAGACAAUGACCAGGAGACACACUGCCCCCCAGGUUUGCAUUGCAAAUGAGGGGCAUAAACUGGGUCAAGACGCCAGCAGACCUGGUCCAGACCAGACACAGCUGUGUCAAUAUUCAGGCUAAGGGAAGCCAGACUGCUGAGCCCCAAGACACAAGCCUCCAGCCAGAUCACAGGAUUACAUAUACACCCUCAACAAACCCCUCUCUGUUUGUUUGAUAUCCACAGAGAAUGGUCUGUCAUACAAAUAUGUUUGACCAUCAACCUCAGCCUGUCUCUAUGUCUGUCUGUUCUCUGUCAGUCUGUCUCUCUGUCAGUCUGUCUGUCUGUCUGUCUGUCUGUCUGUCUGUCUGUCUGUCUGUCUGUCUGUCUGUCUGUCUGUCUGUCAGCUUGUCUCUCUGUCUAUCUGUUCUCUGUCUGUCUCUCUGUCAGCCUGUCUCUCUGUCUGCCUGUCUUUCUGUCUGUUCUCUGUCAGCUUGUCUCUCUGUCUGUCUGUCAGCCUGUCUCUCUGUCAGCCUGUCUCUCUGCCAGCCUGUCUCUCUGCCAGCCUGUCUCUCUGUCUGUCUGUCUCUCUAUCUGUCUGUCGGUCAGCCUGUCUCUCUGUCAGCCUGUCUCUCUGUCAGCCUGUCUCUCUGCCAGCCUGUCUGUCUGUCUGUCUCUCUGUCUUUCUGUUCUCUGUC
rnacentral:lncRNA from 1 species